GUGGAGAGAGACAGAAGCAAGCUGCAGACAUGUGCAGCCAGCUCCUUAUCUCUGCUUGGGGCGAGCGGCUUGAGGCUACACUAGCUGCAGAACAUAAGGUCUGUGGCCACAGCGAUGGCAGUGGAUUUGCAUGUCAGUUUGCAGGUAGGGACAAGGUGGUCUAUCACAUGUGGAAACCAGCUUUUCAGCCUAAGGUUUGGGCUAGACACUGUCUCCAGGCCCCUGGAUCGCACUAGACCCUUCUAUUCUACAGACAGGCUUUUUGUGUCGUGCAGUGGACCCACAAUGGACAAGACGGUUUCCAAGCAGCGACUGACUCACUGGAGGGUUGACUUGAUUGCUCUGGCUUAUUUGCACGCAGGUCCAGCUCCUUCUGCACAGCUGUCUGCGCCCUCCACAAGGGGCAUGGCUGCCUCAUGGGCGCUUUUUUGAGGUGUGUCCAUAGAGGACAUGUGUAAUGCUGCUGGCUGGGCAUCCUCAUCAACCUUUACUAGAUUGUAUAGGUUUGAUCUGGCCUCAUCUCGUCAUCUGUUCUGGGGGCUGCAGCAGAUAACUGAGUUUUUUUGUUAGAAUUUUCCUGCAGUGCCCCUUCCUUUUUGGAUAUUGUUUGAGCAGCUUUCAGUUAACUGUUCUCUUACCCUUGCUUUGUUGUUGCCAAUAAAGAGUGGCGCUUAAUCUGUU